UACGUAGGGUGCAAGCGUUAAUCGGAAUUACUGGGCGUAAAGCGUGCGCAGGCGGUUAUGUAAGACAGGUGUGAAAUCCCCGGGCUUAACCUGGGAACUGCAUUUGUGACUGCAUAGCUAGAGUACGGUAGAGGGGGAUGGAAUUCCGCGUGUAGCAGUGAAAUGCGUAGAGAUGUGGAGGAAUACCGAUGGCGAAGGCAGCCCCCUGGGUCAAUACUGACGCUCAUGCACGAAAGCGUGGGGAGCAAACAGG
rnacentral:rRNA from 1 species